UCGCCGCCGCCGACGUCGCGAGAAGUCCACUGAACCUUAUCAUUUAGAGGAAGGAGAAGUCGUAACAAGGUUUCCGUAGGUGAACCUGCGGAAGGAUCAUUGUCGAUGCCUACAAAGCAGAACGACCAGCGAACCGUUUCUCAACACACGGGACACCGGAGGGGCGUUUAGCUGCCCGGUAUCCCCAAGCUUCGGAUGCUUGAGGGUGCGAUCCGCCCCCAGCAGAUGGAGCAUCAAACACACCCCGGCGUGCAAAGCGCCAAGGUACUACAACGGUAGGGCAAGCACCCGUACGCCUGGAAUCCGGCGCGUUCGGGUGUCUGUUCGGUGUCAUAAAUCUAAACGACUCUUGGCAACGGAUAUCUCGGCUCUUGNNNCAGCGAAAUGCGAUACUUGGUGUGAAUUGCAGAAUCCCGUGAACCAUCGAGUCUUUGAACGCAAGUUGCGCCCGAAGCCUUGGCCGAGGGCACGCCUGCCUGGGUGUCACACAUCGCGUUGCCUCCAAAACCUUUCCCCUCUGUAACACUGUGGCGAUGGUUUGGACGCGGAAGAUGGCUUCCCGUGGCCGAGAGCCACGGAUGGCCGAAAAUUGUGCUAGGGAAGCGAAGCACCACGGCAUUCGGUGGUCGGAACAGCCCAUGAGGCGUUGAAGCCCGUGGUAGCCGCGAGAGUCCCCAGCCCACGACCCUAAUCGUUAACCGACGCGACCUCAGGUCAGGCGGGGCUACCCGCUGAGUUUAAGCAUAUCAAUAAGCGGAGG
rnacentral:rRNA from 1 species